CUCAGACCCGGUGUGCUGUUACCAGAGCCUUCUAGAGGAAGUGUUCUCCGAGCUGAGGGCGGCUCUUUGAUUCUCCAGGCCACAAACCCCCGCAGCCCGGCCUGGCCAGAGGCGUGCCUGUGCAUCCCGGCAAGUGAGCGCCCAGGGACUCUCGGCCAGAGAGGCUGUGAGGGUGGCUUUGUGAGGAUGGCUUUGUGUGGCUGCACAUUGCCCUUGGCCAAGCCCCGCUGCCAGGAGAGGCAGCUCGGCUGCCAAACCUCCUGAACCCAAGUUACCUGAGCAAGCAGCCCUAUCCCCUCGCCUGCUUCUCACUGCCUCGCCUGCCUUGGGCCUGCCCGACCCAGGGGGUCACAUGCCUUGUUCCCCAUCAGUGGAGACCAGGGACAAGAAGACAGUUCUGUGGGAAGAGCCAGGAGGACCAUUUGGGAAAAUACAGGUUCCAGGUGUGUCUCCAGACCUUGAGAGUUGGUGUCUCCUGGGAAGAGGCCCUGAUGAGAUCUGGGGAGAUUCGGAUCUGAUGAGAUUCAGGAAGCCCUGGCCUCUCCGUACUUGAGGAGACGGGACACACAGGACAAGCUGCAGGCUGGUGAGCAGGUUCACCUUCUAUUUUGAAGACCCGCUUCUUCCUCAGGUACCUGAUCUUGAAAACGACCUCCCCUUUCAGUUCUGGAGGCCAGAAGCCCAAAAUCAGUCUCGCUGGGCUAACGUGAAGGUGUCAGUCGGGCUGGUUCCUUCUGGAGGCUCCAGAAAAGAAUCUGUUUUCUUGCCUUUUCUGGCUCAGUUUCUCGGCUUGUGGCUCCUUCCUCCAUCUUCAAAGAGCACCACUCCAAUCUGCUCCUCCAUCAGGUCACCUUCUGCCUGACUCCUACAUCCCUUUCAGAAGGACCCUUGUGAUUCCAUGAGGUCCACCCAGAUCACGCAGGAUAAUGUCCCCGUCUCAAGAGGCUUAAUCUAAUCACAGGUGAAAGCCCUAUACGAGGUGUCAUGGACAGAUUCUGGGCCUAAAGACAUGAACAUCUGUGGGGGCAUCACUCAGACUUCCACGGGUGACAAGGGCCCCAUGGUGGGAGGGGAGAAGAGGAGGAAACGGGAGAGUGAGGAUUCACCAGGAGACUGGCCCGAGAAAGGAGACACGGAUUGGACAGGCUCAGCCAGUGGAAGACCGUCCUGCCUGGAGGGAAGUGGCUUUUAGGAGUUUUUUCCUGAGCCUGUUGUGUCUCCUUCCCUCCUUUCUCCCCCAAAUCCAACUAGAAAACUAGAAACAUAAUCUGUUGUGUUGACUCCAUAGGUCUUGCUUCCCCUCAACCCAGACACCGACUCGCCCAAGGGUCUUCCAGCUGGCUGAGUUGGAACCUGCAUUUUUUAACCACAAGGAAAAGAAGCCCAGAGCUACCAAGAAUAAUAUUUUAUUGACUUGGAAUGAGUUUUGGAAUCUGUAUUUUUAACAAGCUGCCCAGUGAAAACCAUUUCCUCCUCGUCGUGGCGCAGGUCCAGAGGCUGCGCCCAUCUCUCCCACGUCAACAGUCCUGUGUCCUUGGCGAAGGACUGUUCUCUCAUUCAGUGCCUUUCCUCUCUUCCUGGGCCAAAUCCCUGCUUUGCGUCUCCCUGCAGCUCAUAAAAAGCUGAAUUACCUGAGGCAGGGAAAGCCCCACCCACUGUCAUUCUCAGGGAGGAGUGGAGUCUGCAGAGGCCGCAAUGCACAGCUUCCCUAUCCCCCUCCACCCGUGUUUUCCCAGAGCAGCUCUGUUCCAGGCCCGGGGGUGUCCCUGGGCCGAGAUGGAAUCCAGCCCUGACCACCUCCCAAAGCCAACAGCCCUGAGUGAGCGUGCAGAGAAGCAAGAGCUGUUCCUGAUGCAGAGCAAAGACAUCUCCCAGUCAAGGGGGAUGAACUGAUUUGGGACAAAAGGCAGUUGUUGGCUGAGGAAGGCAGGAUCUGGGGGAGCCCUGUGCUGAGUGGAGGUGGGUGGGUGUAUUUCCUUGGCUCACAGAGGCCUCUUGUCUGGUGGGAUCAGCUCCUCCAGCCAGUUGCCACCUGGUCCAGCUUUGGGAGAUGUGGAGAAUGACUUUCGCAGUGAUUUCCACUGGGCCAUGGCAUUGAAACAGCUGCAGGAGGGGACACAGCUGGUGCCACCCCUACUCCGUCCAUUAGAGCUGCUGUGAAGGAAUGCCACCCUCCCCAUGGGGAGUGAGGGGGCCCUACUUGCUGUGGUUGGUUCCAGGGACCAUGGGAAGAGGCAAACCCCUAUUUUCAAGGGCACAAGUUGGCUUUUAUUAAAAUAAAAUUUCAUCAUCACUUAUUCCAGUGGCUCCCAAACUUGGCUAAACAUCAGGAUCACCCAGGAUGUUUGUUAAAAAAUAAAGAUUAUGGCCGGGUGCAGUGGCUCACGCCUGUAAUCCUAGCACUUUGGGAGGCCCAGGCGGGCAGAUCACUUGAGGUCAAGAAUUCGAGACCAGCCUGGCCAACAUGGGGAAAUGCUGUCUCUACUAAAAAUACAAAAAUUAGCUGGGUGUGGUGGUGCAUACCUGUAACCCCAGCUACUCGGAGGCAGAGGCAGGAGAAUUGCUUGAACUUGGGAGGCAAAGGUGGCAGUGAGUCGAGAUAGCGCCACUGCACUGCACUCCAGCCUGGGUGACAGUGCGAGACUCUUGUCUCAAAAAAAAAAAAAAAAAGAUUAAUAAAAAUAAAGAGUUUUAGAACUCAUCCUAGACGGAAUCAAUCAGAAUCUCUUUGGGUAGGCUUGGGCUGGAAUCAGUGCGAAAUCUGACUAAUCAGAUUGCUUUCCUGAUUCCAGACGGUUGAGCCCAUAGAACAGGAGUGAGAAGAUGGAAGGGCGAGGGGGCUGGGAUGAUGAAAACUUGCGCCUGCAGCCACCAUUCAUUACAGAGCGCCGGGGGCCAGCUGCAGAACUGUAGACUCCUCAUACAUCAUCGUGUUGAGUCUUCAAAACAAACCUAUGAGGCUGGAGUGCAGCAGCGCGAUCUCGGCUCACUGCAACUUCCACCUCCUGGUUUCAAGCAAUUCUCCCGCCUCAGCCUCCCGAGUAGCUGGGAUUACAAGCACCCGCCACCAUGCCCGGCUAAUUUUUAUAUUUUUAGCAGAGGCGGGAUUUCUCCAUGUAGCCCAGGCCGGUCUCGAACUCCUGACCUCAAGUGAUCCACCCACCUCAGCCUCCCAAAGUGCUGGGAUUACAGGUGUGAGCCACCAUGCCCCGCCAGCCAUCAGAGUUUUAUAGCAAGAAUUUUUACCUUUGUCCUUAGUGCAAUGGGAAAUCCUUGAAACGCUAUUAUUGCCUUCCUCUGCAAGGAAAGGUUAUUUUGGUGAGCAGUGGAUAGAGGAAAUGCAGAGGGAGCCACUAAAGGGUUCUGGUGAGAUCUGGAGCCCUGCUGGGAUAAUCUGACCAGAGAAAGCAAAGAUUCCAGAGAGCUAGGCACACUUGCCCUACCUCCAGCUGCACACAGCUGGUUCCAGCUUUGUCCUGACCUUCAGUCUGGCAUACAGGGUAGACCCACUGGUACCUGGUACCUCACUCUGGGGGUGAGGUGGCCACCCACCUAGGUCUGGGUCCUGUAGCAGUUUGGCAGCAACAUCUGGGUGAUAAGAGAAGGCGAUUUGACCUACUCCCAGGGACAAGAAGCUUUGACUCUUCAAGAUCAUAAAGUCUUCCCUCCUGGCCUUGGGUCCUCCUGUUGCGGGAGAGAGGACAAAAUCCGUUCCUCACCUGGACACAAUGAACCUGUCUGUGGGAUUUAGGGAGCAUCAAGGAGGGAAUUUAGUUUCCGCAGACUUCAAGGAAGACUUUCUGGAGGAGGUGAUGCCUGAGAGCUAUCCAGGAGAGAAGAGUGAAAAAAUGUUAAGCAGUGGAAAAACAUGAACCAAACUGUGGCUGCAUCUUCCCAUAGGGCAACAGGGACUUAGCGCGUGCAAUCAAGGAUCUCCAGAUGGGGAUAACCCAGGUGUGCCCAACCUAAUCUCAGUGUCCUUGGAAGAGGGAUGCAGAAGGAGUCAGAAUCAGAGAAGAAGGUGACACGAUGAAGGAAUCCGAAAUUAGAGUGAUGCUCUUUGAAGAUGGAGGAAGGGACCACAAGCUGAGAAAUAGAGGUGGCCACUAGACACUGAAAAAGGCAAGGAAGUGGAUUCUCCCCUGGAGCCUCCAGAAGGAACCAGCUCUGCCGACACCUUGACAUUAGCCCAUUGAGACUGAUUUAAGGGCUGCUGGCCUCCAGAAUUGUAAGAGAAUAAACGUGUGUUGUUUAAGGCCCUUGGUUAGUAGCGAUUUGCUACAGCAGCUGCAGAAACCUAAUAAGUAUAGGUUCCACCUAGAGACGCAGAACUAGCCAGCGGCCGAUCCUGCUCCGGGACCCUGCAGGCCCCAGCUCUAUGGAAUCCUGUCGCACACGGGAUGGACGUGGGCUAGAGGCGGAGGAAGGGGAGGAAGUGAAGAUCUUCAGACUAAGAUGGAUGAAGCUGAAUUCAGAUCUCAGCUCCAAGGUGAAUGAGCAAACAGCACAGAAAAAGAAACAGCAGUAUAUGUGGAAGAAAGCAAGAAAAAUCAACUGGCCUGGAACCUAAGACUUGUCCAAAGAUGUCACAGAGAGUAAAAUGAGAAAAAUCCAGUAGCCCGUGCCCAGAGCAGUUCCUCGUACCCAGCAGAAGGCUAACAAGCCCUGAGAUGAAUGAUGCUCUUCCCAAGGAAGGCAGAGGAGGCGACAGUCCAUUUGCGUUCUCUCCUCUGCAAGUACAGGAUCUCGUUUGAUUCUCAAAACCACCCUAGAGGAGACAGGAGGCACCUGAGGCCCAGAGACGUGAAGCCACCUGUCCAAGGCCAUACAGCAGAUAACUUAUUCUGGAGGAAGACACCUGCCAUGCCGUGAGGACAGUCAAGCAGUUCUGUGGAGAGAUCCAUGUGGUGAGAAACAGGGGCCUCCUGUCAACAGGAAGAACAACCUGGCAGGCCUGUCUUGGAUUCAGAGCCUCCAGCCCCAGUCGAGCCUUCAGAUAACUGCACCCUUGGCUGUCAUCUCAACUGCAAUCUCACGACAGACCCUGAGCUGGAACUACUCUGUUUACCAAUGCCUGGCCCACAGAAAGACUAUGAGAUAAAACAAGUAUAUUGUUUUUAGAAGAUAUGUUUUGGAGUAAUUUAUUAUGCUACAAUAGAUAAUACAGAAUUUGGUGAUUUUAUGAUUCUCAACUCCUGGCCAAAGCAAAGCACACAACAAGUCUCAAAGAAAAGUCUCACAAGUGGAAUUGAAAGUACAAAGCUGGCCAGACAAGCUUGUGCAGACAUGUAUGUGGUGGAGUUGAAAAUCACACACUACGACUCACACAAGUGAGUAAAACCUGCGUCUUUCUUAAUUUUUCUUGUACUCUUCUCAUCUAGAUCUAAUGAGAUACUUCCUGCUGUUGACAGGCAAUAAAUGAAUGAACGACAAAAACAAAACAAAAAGAAAAGAAACAAAACAGAAAGAAAAGAAACAAAACAGAAAGAAAAGAAAGAAACAAAACAGAAAGAAAGAAAAGAAAUCUUUAACUUGCCCACUACAGGUUUCUCUAUUUCUGCAUGUUCAAGCAAAUCUCCUUUCAGCAAAAUACUCAUCGUUUUCUCCCUAUUCCCUCUUCUGCUAGCCAGAUGUCUCUCUUCCUGGUGCAGGGAGACAUUUACAGACCUCAUGGUGGUGGGAAGAGGAGUUCAAGAUGAGAAACCCGAGGCUCAGAGAGGCCCUGUAAUUUGCUCAAGAACAAGAAACCACUACAUCUGAGAUCUUAUCCUUCUGACCCCUCGAUCCGGGUCUUUGCACAGGCAUGGCACCACUCUUGAGUACCCAAGUUAAAAUUCCAGCUCUAUCCUUUAGGAAUUUG
rnacentral:lncRNA from 1 species